rfam:Enterobacter cloacae S611 EDP2.NODE_1917, whole genome shotgun sequence.
CUUACCGGAGGCGCUAUGGAUCCCGAUCCCACCCCUCAUCCCCGAUGGAGAAGACCCUUCCGGUAAGCCCGCAUUUGCUGCCUUACCGGAUGCGUAAGGCAGCGACGCCAU